rnacentral:lncRNA from 1 species
UCAAAAUAUGGAAACAUAAUAUGGUAAUAGUAAGAAAAGUAAGAUAAAAAACCUUGGCCCUCGCACAUGUCUGUAAAAAUCUCAACACUCAGGAUGCAAAUGUAGAAAGAUCUCUGUGAGUUCCAGGAUAGAUAGGAACACAAAGACCCUGUGUUGAAAUGAGGAUGAAAUAAAAAUUUAUUCCAACUCACUGUAAUUUUGGUGGUUGGUUAUUUUUCCCAGCUUUAAAAAUGAAAGCAUUGGAAAAACUUGUUUGUUCAAGUCUUCCUACUUUGUGUUUUUCAAUCUGUCUCUCUGUCUGUCUGUCUGGUUCUCAUUAUCUGUCCUGGGCUGGCCUUUCUGCUACAGCUCAACUUGCUUCCCAAGUGCUAGAGUACUAGUUUUACAAGGUGUGUAUCUCUAUAGCUGGUAUAGCCGUUUUCUUGAUGGUGUGGGUGAGUAUGCUGGUUUGUAGAGGAGGCUAAGGAAUUCUUAAGUUGCCCAGACUCGUUUCAGACUCCUAGUCCUUUCAUCUCAGCAUUCAAAGUAGGUGGGAUUUUGUACCCACACUACCAUGCCUAUCCUUGUAUUCUUCCUAGCUUGGGAGAUGGAAGCUUGAGCAUUAGGAGUUCAGAAUCGCCCUUGGUUACACAACCAGUUCAAGGCCAACCUAAGUUACAUAAGACCUUACGUCCAAAAAUCAAAAAUAAUUAAACUUCAUCCUAUAAAUUAUUAAAUCCUACCAUCAUUACAGCAAGGAUUAUGUUAUGUGUAAAAUAGUUAUAUAUCUUUUACCCCAACUAUAUCCUUAGAUUUUAGAAAUAGCUUCAUUUGACUAUAGAAUACAAGAAAUAAAUGUGAUACCUUUAUCUGUCAAAUUUAUUUCGUUUAAUAAGUGCUGUCUAAAUUUUGGACUUUGACAUUUUAUGCUUAAAAUAUUCAAUACGGGCAACAGCCAAAUAUGCUAGUAAUUCCCCUGUUUCAUAACUGUUUUAAUAAACAUCCUAAAGGCCAGAUGUGUUAUCUGUAAGCCUGUCAUUCACUUUCUGAUGCUUGCUGUCCUUGGCAACAGGGCUGGGGUUUUUCUUUUGUUCUUUGGGUUCUGUUUUGCUUUGUUUUAUUUUUUGUUUUGUUUGUUAGUUUGUUUGUGACUGAAUACAGGGAAAUUGUUCAGUAUCCCAAACAUUUCAAUAGUAAACUGGUAAUCCAUUCCCAAUUUCAUGUCACUCCCUUUAACAGAAAGCAUUGUUUAACUAUUAUAAUAUUAGUGUAUUAGAUUUUAUGAAUCUUGAAGAUUAUAUUUAUUGAAUGCCUCUCAUUAGAGAUCAGGAAGUUUUUUGUGUGUGCUGCAUCUUGAUGACAAAGUUUGUGCCUUUAUGGAGAGAUCCUAGUUGUCUAACAGUUAGAAGUACAUAAGCUAAAUCUGGAGCCUUCAGGAGAACAGAUUAGCAGCCAGAUGUUCACAGCAAUAUUCUGUUUUAGGUAGUUGAGCUUUUCCAAAGAAGUAACAACUGUUGGAGUGAAGCUGAAAUAAAUGAGCUGGAAAAACCAUUGGGUCUGAUUUGGAUUUUAAAAUGUUUUCAAUUUCCAUGUGGAAGAGAGUGAAGUCAUUCUUGACUUCAUACCAUUGGAAGCAGGGAGAAUAGUUAGAAAACUUAUGAAGGAAGAGCUUGGGUUAUGAUUUUGUUGGUAACAGUGGGGAAGGUAGUUAUUAGCAUAAACUAGGCAUGCUGAAGAGGCAGAGGCAUAUGGAUCUCUAUGCUCAAGGUCAGCCAUGGAGGUCUGCAUGGUGAGACCCUGUGUCUCACCAAACAAAACAAAAUGUCCAAAACAAAGCAACAAGGGAACAGAAUGAAGAGGCAAACCAUGAACAAGAAUCUCAGAUAGAGUGGGCUUGGGAAUCUUACACAUUCACUUGCUGUAUUUUAAUGUUGUCUACUGAUUACUUGGAGUAGAGAUUAAAGACUAACCAGGUGCUUUCUUAAUCAUUUUGUUUAAAGUACAGAAUGUAUAGAAUUUUUGACUCCAAGAAUUUUAAUUUAUCAAAACUCAUUUUCCUAUGAAAUGAUAAUGAUUAUAUUUUAUACUUAUUUUAGAAUUUUUAUAAAAUGUGUAUGUGUGUGUGUCUGUGUGUUUAUGUCUGUGUGAUGUAGAUAUAUCUGUGUGAUGUUUAUAUCUGUGUGCACAGAUGAGAGUGCCGUGCAUACAGGUAAGAGCAGGCUACCAGGUGCUGUCUUAGUUAGGAUUUUACUUCUGUGAACAGACACUAUGACCAGGGUAACUCUUAUAAGGACAACUUUUAAUUGGGGCUGGUUUUUAAGUUCAUAGGUUCAGUCCAUUAUCAUCAAGGUGGGAACAUGGCAGUGUCCAGGCAGACAUGGUGCAGGAAUUGCUGAGAGUUCUACAUUUUUUAUCUGAAGGCUGCUAUGAAAAGACUGACUUCUAGGUAGCUAGGAUUGAGGGUAUUAAAGCCCACUCCCACAGUGACACACCUUCUCCAACAAGGUCACACCUCUUAAAUGUGCCACUCCCUGGGCCAAGCAUAUAUAAACCAUCACAGGUGUCAUGCUCAAAUCAUUUUCAACCUAAUUCUCUUGAGUCACAAUCUUUCACUGAAUCUGGAGUGUGCCAUCAUUUGGCUGGAGAGAUGGCUAAGGGGUUAAGAGCACUAACUGCUCUUCCAGAGGUCCUGAGUUUAAUUCCCAGCAACCAUCUGUUGGCUCACAACCAUCUGUAACCCGAUGCCCUCUUCUGGUGUGUCUGAAGAUAGCAACAGUGUACUCAUAUACAUAAAAUAGAACAUCUUCAGAUUAUAGAAAGCUAACUUCAUUGGUAAGUUCCACGUGUUUGAAGAAUAAAAGAACAGAUCAGUCUUAGUCGGUGAUCUAUUGCUGUGAGGAAACACUGACCAUGGCAACUCUUAGAAAGGAAAGCAUUUAAUUGAAGGCUUGCUUACAGAUUCAGAGAUUCAGUCUGUUGUCAUCAUGGCAGGUAGCAUGACAGCAGGCACAUUCUGGCAAACAUGGUGCUUGAGAAGUAACUGAGAGCUACAUUUAAAAACAAAACAAAAAACCUUUUCUUGAUUCUUUGUGAAUUUUACAUCAUACACCAGAACCCCACUCAUCUCACCUUGCAACUCCUCCCCC